UACGGAGGGUGCAAGCGUUAUCCGGAUUCACUGGGUUUAAAGGGUGCGUAGGCGGGCAGGUAAGUCAGUGGUGAAAUCUCCGAGCUUAACUCGGAAACUGCCAUUGAUACUAUUUGUCUUGAAUGUUGUGGAGGUAAGCGGAAUAUGUCAUGUAGCGGUGAAAUGCUUAGAUAUGACAUAGAACACCAAUUGCGAAGGCAGCUUACUACACAAUGAUUGACGCUGAGGCACGAAAGCGUGGGGAUCAAACAGG
rnacentral:rRNA from 1 species